AGGAUAAUAGUUAAUUAUAACAUUUAAUUUGCAAUUAAAAAGUAUUGAUUUAUUAAUCAAUUUAUCUUA
rnacentral:tRNA from 1 species